rnacentral:rRNA from 2 species
UACGUAGGGGGCGAGCGUUGUCCGGAUUUACUGGGCGUAAAGGGUGAGUAGGCGGUAAUAUGUGUCAGAUGUAAAAGGCUAAGGCUUAACCAUAGUUAGCAUUUGAAACUGUAUUACUUGAGUGCAGGAGAGGUAAGUGGAAUUCCUAGUGUAGCGGUGAAAUGCGUAGAUAUUAGGAGGAACACCAGUGGCGAAGGCGACUUACUGGACUGUAACUGACGCUGAGUCACGAAAGCGUGGGUAGCAAACAGG